UGGGCGCGAAGGGUGCGUAACGCGUAAGUAACUUGCCCCAAGGUAAGGAAUAACGUCGAGAAAUCGGCGCUAAUACCUCAUAAUGCAGCGGAUCCGCAUGGAUAUGUUGUUAAAGGUUUACCGCCUUGGGAUAGGCUUGCGUCUGAUUAGCUAGUUGGUGUGGUAAUGGCACACCAAGGCUACGAUCAGUAACUGGUCUGAGAGGAUGAUCAGUCACACUGGAACUGAGACACGGUCCAGACUCCUACGGGAGGCAGCAGUGAGGAAUAUUGGGCAAUGCACGAAAGUGUGACCCAGCAACGCCGCGUGGAGGAUGAAGGUAUUCUAUAUCGUAAACUCCUGUGAGAGCAGACGAAAGACAGAUUAUUAAUUUGGAUGACUGUAUGCUCAGAGGAAGCCCCGGCUAACUACGUG
rnacentral:rRNA from 1 species